rnacentral:tRNA from 1 species
GAUAUAGCUUAGUGUUAGAGCACUUGCUUGACAUGUAAGGGCCUGGGUUCAGUCCCCAGUAUC